GACGAACGCUGGCGGCGUGCCUAACACAUGCAAGUCGAGCGAUGCGAUCCUUCGGGAUCAAUUAGCGGCGGACGGGUGAGUAACACGUGGGUAACCUGCCUCAAAGAGGGGAAUAGCCUCCCGAAAGGGAGAUUAAUACCGCAUAAUAUGUUUUGAUCGCAUGAUCUUAACAUCAAAGGAGUUUUCUUCGGAUUAUUCCACUUUGAGAUGGACCCGCGGCGCAUUAGCUAGUUGGUAAGGUAACGGCUUACCAAGGCAACGAUCCGUAGCCGGCCUGAGAGGGCGGUCGGCCACACUGACACUGACAUACGGGUCAGACUCCUACGGGAGGCAGCAGUCGGGAAUUUUGGGCAAUGGGCGAAAGCCUGACCCAGCAACGCCGCGUGAAGGAUGAAAUCCCUCGGGAUGUAAACUUCGCAAGAACGGGAAGAAUAAGCGAGAGUUAAUAUCCUUCGUGAUGACGGUACCGUUUGUAAGCUCCGGCUAACUCCGUGCCAGCAGCCGCGGUAAUACGGGGGGAGCAAGCGUUGUUCGGAUUUACUGGGCGUAAAGGGCGCGUAGGCGGCCAGCGCAAGUCAGUUGUGAAAUCUCCGAGCUUAACUCGGAAAGGUCAACUGAUACUGCGCGGCUAGAGUGCAGAAGGGGCAACUGGAAUUCUCGGUGUAGCGGUGAAAUGCGUAGAUAUCGAGAGGAACACCUGCGGCGAAGGCGGGUUGCUGGGCUGACACUGACGCUGAGGCGCGAAAGCCAGGGGAGCG
rnacentral:rRNA from 1 species